GGUCAGAUGGCCGAGCUGCUCUAAGGCGCCGCACUCAAGUUGCGGUCUCUCACGAGGCGUGGGUCCGAAUCCCACACUCUGACCC